rnacentral:rRNA from 1 species
CUGCAUGGCUGUGUCAGCUCGUGUCGUGAGAUGUUGGGUUAAGUCCCGUAGCGAGCGCAACCCUGUCCUUAGUUACCAGCACGUUAUGGUGGGCACUCUAAGGAGACUGCCGGUGACAAACCGAGGAAGGUGGGGAUGACGUCAAGUCAUCAUGGCCCUUACGGCCUGGGCUACAUACGUGCUACAAUGGUCGGUACAAAGGGUUGCCAAGCCGCGAGGUGGAGCUAAUCCCAUAAAACCGAUCGUAGUCCGGAUCGCAGUCUGCAACUCGACUGCGUGAAGUCGGAAUCGCUAGUAAUCGUGAAUCAGAAUGUCACGGUGAAUACGUUCCCGGGCCUU